AAAUGAAUUAUUAUUAUAAAUGUUGAUUUAAGAUAUUAUUUAAGAUAAAUAAAUAUGAUUUUAUUAGUUAAUAGAAAAAAUUUAAAUUAUUAUAGUUAAAAGUAUAGUGAUAGAAUUAAUAAUUUUAUUUAAAAGAAAAUUUUGGUUAUUGUACCUUGUGUAUCAGGGCUUAUUUAAUUAAGUUUUUAAAUUAAAAAUUUCUCGAAUUUUGAAGAGUUAAUUUUAUAUAUAUAUUAUUGUAGAAUAAAUAUUUAAAAUAUAAAUUUAGUAAUGAAAUGUUAACGUUUUAAAAUAUAUCUAGUUUUUUAAGAAAUGAAUUUAAUUUAGAGUUAAUAAAUUAUUUAUAUAUAUUUAAAUAUUAAUAGUUAUUAAUAUUAGAAUUUUUAGGGAUAAGCUUGAAAAUUAAAAUUUAUAAAUUAAGGAGUUUUAAAUAAGUUAUAGGAUUAGAAUUUUUCAUUAAUAUAAUUAUGUUAUAAUUUAUUAUAAAGUUAAUAAGAUUUUUAUAAUUUUAAAUUUUUUAUUAAAAAAUUAUUUUUAAUUUGAAUUAUUAAGAUAUAAUGAUAAAAUUAGUAAUAGUUAAUUUAUUAAUAAUAUAAUGAUAUAAGAUUAUUUAAAGGAAUUCGACAAAUUUAAUUUUCACCUGUUUAUUAAAAACAUGUCUUUUUGAUAAUAAUUUAAAGUCUGGCCUGCCCAAUGAUAAAUUUAAUGGCCGCAGUAUUUUGACUGUGCAAAGGUAGCAUAAUCAUUAGUUUUUUAAUUGAAAGCUAGAAUGAAGGGUCUGAUGAAAAAUUAAUUGUCUCUAAAUAAAUUAAUGAAUUUUAUUUUUAAGUUAAAAAGCUUAAAUUAUUUAAAAAGACGAGAAGACCCUAUAGAGUUUUAUAUAAAUUUAAAUUAGGUUUUAAAGGAUUAAAUAAAUUUAUAUUAGAUUUAUAUUUAAUUGGGGUGAUUAAAAAAUUUAAAAAACUUUUUUAUUAUGUUAAUAUUAAUUAAUAGAUAUAUGAUUUUUUAUUAAAAAUUAUAAGAAAAAAUUACCUUAGGGAUAACAGCGUAAUUUUUUUUAGAGUUCUUAUUGAAAAAAGAGAUUGCGACCUCGAUGUUGGAUUAAAAAAAAGGUAUGGUGAAGAAGCUAUAUUUUAAGUCUGUUCGACUUUUAGAUUUUUACAUGAUCUGAGUUUAGACCGGUGUGAGCCAGGUUGGUUUCUAUCUUUUAGAAAAGAGGAUAUUUUAGUACGAAAGGACCAAAUAUUUUAAAUAUUUUAUAAGAUUUGAAUA
rnacentral:rRNA from 1 species